UACGUAGGGGGCAAGCGUUGUCCGGAUUUAUUGGGCGUAAAGAGCGUGUAGGCGGCCAGGUAGGUCUGCUGUGAAAACUCGAGGCUUAACCUCGAGCUGUCGGCGGAAACCAUCUGGCUAGAGUCCGGAAGAGGAGAAUGGAAUUCCCGGUGUAGCGGUGAAAUGCGCAGAUAUCGAGAGGAACACCUGCGGCGAAGGCGGGUUGCUGGGCUGACACUGACGCUGAUGCGCGAAAGCUAGGGGAGCGAACGGG
rnacentral:rRNA from 1 species